rnacentral:rRNA from 1 species
GAUGAGUUGCGAACGGGUGAGUAACGCGUAGGUAACCUGCCUUGUAGCGGGGGAUAACUAUUGGAAACGAUAGCUAAUACCGCAUAACAAUGGAUGACACAUGUCAUUUAUUUGAAAGGGGCAAUUGCUCCACUACAAGAUGGACCUGCGUUGUAUUAGCUAGUAGGUGAGGUAAUGGCUCACCUAGGCGACGAUACAUAGCCGACCUGAGAGGGUGAUCGGCCACACUGGGACUGAGACACGGCCCAGACUCCUACGGGAGGCAGCAGUAGGGAAUCUUCGGCAAUGGGGGCAACCCUGACCGAGCAACGCCGCGUGAGUGAAGAAGGUUUUCGGAUCGUAAAGCUCUGUUGUAAGUCAAGAACGGGUGUGAGAGUGGAAAGUUCACACUGUGACGGUAGCUUACCAGAAAGGGACGGCUAACUACGUGCCAGCAGCCGCGGUAAUACGUAGGUCCCGAGCGUUGUCCGGAUUUAUUGGGCGUAAAGCGAGCGCAGGCGGUUUGAUAAGUCUGAAGUUAAAGGCUGUGGCUCAACCAUAGUUCGCUUUGGAAACUGUCAAACUUGAGUGCAGAAGGGGAGAGUGGAAUUCCAUGUGUAGCGGUGAAAUGCGUAGAUAUAUGGAGGAACACCGGUGGCGAAAGCGGCUCUCUGGUCUGUAACUGACGCUGAGGCUCGAAAGCGUGGGGAGCGAACAGGAUUAGAUACCCUGGUAGUCCACGCCGUAAACGAUGAGUGCUAGGUGUUGGAUCCUUUCCGGGAUUCAGUGCCGCAGCUAACGCAUUAAGCACUCCGCCUGGGGAGUACGACCGCAAGGUUGAAACUCAAAGGAAUUGACGGGGGCCCGCACAAGCGGUGGAGCAUGUGGUUUAAUUCGAAGCAACGCGAAGAACCUUACCAGGUCUUGACAUCCCGAUGCUAUUUCUAGAGAUAGAAAGUUACUUCGGUACAUCGGUGACAGGUGGUGCAUGGUUGUCGUCAGCUCGUGUCGUGAGAUGUUGGGUUAAGUCCCGCAACGAGCGCAACCCCUAUUGUUAGUUGCCAUCAUUCAGUUGGGCACUCUAGCGAGACUGCCGGUAAUAAACCGGAGGAAGGUGGGGAUGACGUCAAAUCAUCAUGCCCCUUAUGACCUGGGCUACACACGUGCUACAAUGGUUGGUACAACGAGUUGCGAGUCGGUGACGGCGAGCUAAUCUCUUAAAGCCAAUCUCAGUUCGGAUUGUAGGCUGCAACUCGCCUACAUGAAGUCGGAAUCGCUAGUAAUCGCGGAUCAGCACGCCGCGGUGAAUACGUUCCCGGGCCUUGUACACACCGCCCGUCACACCACGAGAG